GGGCGGGAGCGGCGCUGAGGGGAGAGAGGCGGAUUGCGCGGCGCUAAAGGACCAUGUAGGCCAGGUGAGGGUCGGUCUUUUCUCCCAGGUAGUAUCCAGUGAUAGGAUAAGGGGAUAUGGUCUCAAGCUGCGCCAGGGGAGGCUUAGGUUGGACUUGAGGAGGAAUUUCCUCGUGGAAAGAAACGGCGUUGUGGCUGCCCGUGCAGGGUUCGAGUCCUCACUCCUGGACGUGUCCGAGGAACGCCUGGAUAUGGCAUUCAGUGCUGUGGUUUGGGUGACAAAAGGCGAUCAGUGAUAGGUUGGGCACGAUCUCGGAGGUAUUUUCCAACCUUUGUAAUUCUGUGAGUCUGGAGGGACUGGGAGGAAGGGCGUAAGGCGGGAGGUCUGAGGGCAGGGGGAGCGCGGAGGGCGUUGUCGAUUUCAGCAGCUCUGGGAACACGAACACAGAGUUCACUCUAGAAAAGAGACGUGGUUUAUUCAGCGCAGCUUGCAAGAAAGACGUUUCCACUAAUCAACUUCCCAAAGGGUAAAAAGUUAAAUCUGUUAUACAGUAAAAUUCAUAUGAACACGCCCGCUUACUGCAUAUCUCCACCCACCUAAUGCAUUAUUUAGGUGAGGUAAUCUUAACGCACGACUCGAAACAGGUUCUUCACUUACUGCAUAUUCUCCGCCCACCUAAUGCAUAUUUAUUUAGUGAUGUAAUCUUAACGCACGACUUGAAACAGAUUCUUUCCUUCACUAGACAAAGUCCUCUUAUACAAGUAAUGCCACCUAAGUUAAGUUUACGAAAGGCGAGGAAAAAAUUAAAAGAUACAAAAGACUGGGAGUGGGACGAGCGGCAAGACGGGAACGCUGGCCAGAACGGGAAGGGAAGGGCGGAAGGGAGUUGUGACAGCAUCGACCAACAACCGCCACACCAUUUUUUAUUUGAUUGUAUAAAUUCAGUUUAUUUCAGCUUUUAACAGAAGACAAAGCCCUUAGUAAAAAUGCAGUUUUCAACAUACACGUGUUCAUGCUGGUGUGUCUCCAUCGUUACCCAUCACUUUCUUUUUUCUCUUGGGGUAGGGAUGGAGAUAAUUAAACAGUUUACACUGAUCCCAAG